rnacentral:rRNA from 1 species
UACGUAGGGUGCAAGCGUUGUCCGGAAUUAUUGGGCGUAAAGAGCUCGUAGGCGGUUUGUCGCGUCUGCUGUGAAAUCUGGGGGCUCAACCCCCAGCCUGCAGUGGGUACGGGCAGACUAGAGUGCGGUAGGGGAGAUUGGAAUUCCUGGUGUAGCGGUGGAAUGCGCAGAUAUCAGGAGGAACACCGGAUGGCGAAGGCAGAUCUCUGGGCCGUAACUGACGCUGAGGAGCGAAAGCAUGGGGAGCGAACAGG